rnacentral:rRNA from 1 species
AUUGAACGCUGGCGGCAUGCUUUACACAUGCAAGUCGAACGGCAGCGCGGGCUUCGGCCUGGCGGCGAGUGGCGAACAGGUGAGUAAUGCAUCGGAACGUGCCCAGUAGUGGGGGAUAGCCCGGCGAAAGCCGGAUUAAUACCGCAUACGACCUGAGGGUGAAAGCGGGGGACCGAAAGGCCUCGCGCUCUUUGAGCGGUCGAUGUCGGAUUAGCUAGUUGGUGGGGUAAAGGCUUACCUAGGCGACGAUCCGUAGCUGGUCUGAGAGGACGACCAGCCACACUGGGACUGAGACACGGCCCAGACUCCUACGGGAGGCAGCAGUGGGGAAUUUUGGACAGUGGGGGCAACCCUGAUCCAGCCAUGCCGCGUGCGGGAAGAAGGCCUUCGGGUUGUAAACCGCUUUUGUUCGGGAAGAAAUCCUCUGGGCUAAUACCCCGGGGGGAUGACGGUACCGGAAGAAUAAGCACCGGCUAACUACGUG